rnacentral:rRNA from 1 species
GAUGAACGCUGGCGGCGUGCCUAAUACAUGCAAGUCGAGCGAACAGAUGAGGAGCUUGCUCCUCUGACGUUAGCGGCGGACGGGUGAGUAACACGUGGAUAACCUACCUAUAAGACUGGGAUAACUUCGGGAAACCUGAGCUAAUACCGGAUAAUAUAUUGAACCGCAUGGUUCAAUAGUGAAAGACGGUUUUGCUGUCACUUAUCGAUGGAUCCGCGCCGCAUUAGCUAGUUGGUAAGUUAACGGCUUACCAAGGCAACGAUGCGUAGCCGACCUGAGAGGGUGAUCGGCCACACUGGAACUGAGACACGGUCCAGACUCCUACGGGAGGCAGCAGUAGGGAAUCUGCCGCAAUGGGCGAAAGCCUGACGGAGCAACGCCGCGUGAGUGAUGAAGGUCUUCGGAUCGUAAAACUCUGUUAUUAGGGAAGAACAAAUGUGUAAGUAACUAUGCACGUCUUGACGGUACCUAAUCAGAAAGCCACGGCUAACUACGUG